rnacentral:misc_RNA from 1 species
UUUCCGUAGGUGAACCUGCGGAAGGAUCAUUAAUGAGUUGUCAUGGGGUUCGAUGCUGGCAGCCAAUUUAUGGAUGCAUGUGCUUGCCCUAACAAUCAUCUUCCAAACACCUGUGCACAUUUUUGAGGGAGUCUUGAGUUGGUUGCCGCUCUUGGGUGAUUUUCUCACAUUCCCUUAAAUCAUUAUACGCUAUUAACAAUGUUGAACGUGCUCUGUGCCGCAAGGCUAUUAAUAUAAUACAACUUUUAACAACGGAUCUCUUGGCUCUC